CAAAUUAGCUGCUUUGGGAACAACCUUUUCUGUCACUGAGUUGAAAGUCAAGUUGCUGUUCAGUUUAACCCACAACUUGGUCGAGCUUACCAACACCAAGUUCUUGUACUCAGCUGCAGCGUAGUGCAAAGCCCCUCGUGCUCCAUUGGUUCGAGCCUCCUCUACUAGUUUCUGAGCCUUUUGGGUUGCCUUUUGGACCAAAUCGUGGGCCAGGUUAACCACUUGCUUGGCUGGUGCUGGAGCAUGCUCGUCAAAUUUGUGUGAAACCUCAUCUACCUACGGUUAUUUUAAUCAAAUACGAUAAUAAAGUUAGGAAUAAAUUGGUUCACGCUAAACUUAACUUUCCCCAUUUUUAAAAUAUUAGAUUUAAUCCUUACUCUUCCGAUGAAUUUCAAAAUACUAAAAUUACUUGCUAAACUUAAAGACGAGAAAGAACUAAUCAACAGAAACUUCUGAUCAAAAGUUCCAAACAGUGAUUUUUUCUUAAUGGGCGAAUACCUUGUUAUCAAGAAAUCCAAGAAAAUGAUCAGGAACAUCCUUAAAUUUCCCGUAGGCGGGACCGACGGCAGUGGUAACGGCAUGCUCGACGGCGUCAACGGUGGAUCUCAACGGCCCCGAGUUCUGUUUAGAGUAAUCGUAAAGGUUCGAGACGCAAACCAAGGCGUGGAUUGUAGCCACCCUGACGAAGUUUAGGUGCUUGAGGCCUAAAUUCUUGUUCUCAAA
rnacentral:lncRNA from 1 species